AUUUAUGAGCACUCAUUUAUCUUUAAGUUAAUUUGGUAUCAUGUAGAAAAUAUACAAACAUAUGUAUAGACAUAUACAUACAUGUAGAUACAACAUACAACCUACAAAUGUACACAUGCAUGCAUAUAAAAGCCAGAUAAAUCACAGAGUUCAAUGUAAAAGAAUAUAAAGCUUUACAGCUGACAGGAACCUGUCCAUUCACAACUCUUGGGGUUCCGGGAGGAAAAACAGAGGUUCCUCCCCAAAAGAGGAGCCUGUGGUGCCUUUUCUGUUUUCCUCCCAGGAUCCCAGCGCUGUUAGAAAUCUUUUUUAGGUCUACAGUAUUGCAAUCUUUCCUCUUGCAACAUUGUGGGUGGCACGAGGAAAGAAGGACAGACAGAAGUAAAUGGAAGAACAAGUCUUAGAGGCAAAAAUUACAUCAACAAGAGGAGAAACAGACAGAAGAAGUGCAUAUAGUUGUCAUAGAGAAGAAGGGUGUCUUAAAAAUAUAUGCAUAUACAUAUAGCCUAAAUAUCAGCUUUUAAUUAAGGUGACUUUUGACUAUAGAGCUCUUAAAAUCUUUUUAUCAAAUUUUAGCUGGGCAAAUAGCAAACAUUGCUGUUUCUUGCCUUUUCCUUUCUUAAAUUUACAUAAAGAAAGAGUCUUGGAGGUGGGGUAUAUUUGUUUAUUAGAGGUCUAGUGCAAUCACUGUUUAAAACUCUUUGUCUUUAAAACGUUUUAAUAAACUGUUUCUUUUGUUUUUCUAAGUAUGUGGUUCCAUUGAGCUUAGGAAAGAAGACUAAAAAAAACAAACAAAAAAGUUCCUAUUAUGCUCUAAAUGUAAGCCAAAAUUUAAAUCAAAGGUAUACCUUGAUUGUUUAAAAUGAGUAAUUUUAGAAAUGUUUCUCUCCUGAGCUAAAGGUACCCACUGAGGAAAGGAAUUUUGUGGUUGGUUCAAAGCACUUUAACUCUAUUUCAAAUCCUAUCUCAGUUGGAAUGCUGCUUAUCUAAUUCCCUAGACAUUUCAAAGUCAUGGUUAAGAUUUACAUCUCCUGGAGACUAAGAAGAAUCCCUUAAAAAAAAUACUUCUAGAUACAAAAGUCCCAAUUUCCAAAGUAAACCUACUAUAAUUGUUACUUAAAAUCAGUAAGUCUUUUUAUGGCUUAUAACCAGACACAAAAAUUACAUCCCCAAAGAGGAUGCAAAAAUGCAAUCCCCUUCAAGAUCUGAAGUUUUUCCAAAGAUGGCCUAAGAAAGUAAAGGCCUUUAUUAUUAGCAAGGCAAUGAAGGUUGAGACAAUUAAGACAAAUCCUGAGAGCCAGCACAUUUAGACAAACAGACAUUUUGGGCCCAGUGGGACUCCCAGCUGGCUACCUGACAUAAGCCAGACAAUUUAUGCCCUCAAGGUGGCACAGACCACAGAAAAAAUUUGCUGCUUACAAAGCCAAGCUUCCCAAGAAAUAAAACAAGAUGAAAGAAGAAUCUUGCUGUGAUCCUCCUAUGACAAACCACUCAGAAAGUCAGAGACGAGGAAAACAAAGAUCAUCCUUACAAAACUAAAGAUCAAUAACCAAAUAGGUACUUAAACAAAUCUACAAGAGUCACAGAUUCAAAGAAUUAAUUUUAUUAUUAUUUGUAAAUGUUUUCCUCCUAUCAAUCUGAACCUGGAAAGGGAAGGAUGAGGAAAAUUUUUUACCUUCUUUCUUGGCCAGGUACAACAGAUAGAGACCUGAGAGAAGCUGACCUUGGUGAGAAAUCUUACUCUUUGCUGCUGCAACUGCCAGGUCUCCCAGGAUUUCACCUAUAGGUCCUGCAGCAGUCAGGGUGUCUCUGUGGCCCCAUCUUGGGUGCCAAAUUGUAAAGGAGGAAACAUAAUUUCUGUCCUUUCCCUUUUUAGAUUCUUAAAGAGAUGCUGUUGAGACACUCUCCUGAAAACAAAAGUCAGAUUAAACAAGUGAGGAAAACAAGCAGAAGUUUAUUAACACGUGCUGUACCCAUGAUGCUCCUGAUGAGACCUUUCCUAAGGUCUCAGUUCAAAAGUAUUUCUUUCUCAAGGCAGUGGCUUAGGGUCCUUGCUUAAAUAAUAUUUUAACAAACAGCCAUAAAUCCUACAUAGUGACAAGAAAAAGAAGAAAGCAUCUUCAGGCUUCCAAAAGGUGGGAAAAUAUGGGAAGGUAAAUUGAUGGGGAGAGUGAAAUCUGCUCCUAGAUCCUCUGGUGCCAUUGUCUAUGGGCUCUGUCUCUGAGUGUGUUGUUGUGUUCUCUUCGGCAGCACAAGUACUAAAAUUGGAACAAUACAGAGAAGGUUAGUAUGGCCCUUGUGCAAGGAUAACACAAAAUAAAAAAGCAAUAAAGAAGUAAAAGUCUAGUUUAAAUUUAAAAAAUAUAUGUAUUUUUUUUAAAAAAGAAAGUGUGUUGUAAAGGAGCUUGUCCUUAGGUGGGAAAAGCAGAGAGGAGGGGCAGAGUCUACCUCUGUGUUUUAAACUUUUAACUUUAAUUAAAAUCCCCAGCAUGUUAGAGAGGCAUAUUUUGCUUAUAAUUCCUCUUUCUCUCACACAUGUAUUGAAGGCUCUGUAAAGGAUGGAAGACUUGUCAAUCAUCUCUGUGUUUGCAUUCACAGUGUGUGACAAACAACUGGAACUGAGUAAAUAUUUGUUGGAUGAAUAAGUGAACACAUGAAUGUGUGGUUUACAGUAUGCUCAGUAUCCUACUGGCACCAAAUAUAACCUUUUGCAUAAGACCAGUAUCAAAAUUAGUAAAUACUUCAUGGGAAUUUAUUUGCCACAUAGAAAUCAUUUAAUAAAUGCCAAACCCUUAUUUGAACUACAAAAAGAAAAAAAAAAUCACUCAAGAGGGUGAGGGAAAUGAAUAUAAAUUUAACAAACCUGACCAUAAGGGUUUUAAUUAUUUAAUGAUUUAAUGAGUCCGAGAGUGGGUGAGUGCAUGACUGAUUGCUUCAUAGAACCCAUGGGGUUAUGAGAAAGGACCAGAGUUAGCUACAGACCAAUACUGUUAAUUUGAGAAAUACUUAGGGGGUGCCUACCUAAUGCCAGGUGAAGUAUAUAGUAAGACGGAGCUUAUGAUGAAUAGCUCAGUAUUCACCAAGCUGUAAUUACUUUGGAACGUAAAAGAAUGUUUACCUGGUUUGAAUAAAAUUUAAAACUUUAAAUAGUAUCCUAAAGGGUAAAAUUAGAAUUUAGGGCAAUUGGAGAUCCUAGCAAUGUAUGUUCUCUACUUCCACCUUAGGUUUUGAUUGAAGACACGCUACUCGCACCUAAUGUCUCUCUGGAUCAAUUGAAUCCUAAGUCUAACCAUUAAGGAUAACUAUGAAAACUAAUUAUUAGGACCAAUAUCAAUUUUAUUAAUGUAUAUAGGAGGAGAGGGUAUCAAAGCACUUAGGAAUCUUUUAGCCAAAAUCUUGAAUUUGUUGCAGCCCAGUCUGAGCCCUAAGGUCCCUGUGACAAAGGUAGAAUUGCUCUUGCUCUAACGUUGAUUUUGUUACUUCUCAUCACUGGUCCACCUUUGCAGAUGUCUGGAGAGCCAGCUUUAUAACAGAAAUGUCAUGAGCUUUGGAACCAAACUGAGUCUGCCCUUUAUUUAAAUGUUUCAUAAACUUGAACAAAUUGGCUCUAAUCUUGGAACCUUGGUUUAUUUACCUGAAACGUCAGGGAAAAUUGUACCUCGUGCAGAAUUUAAUGAGGUCAUAGUCAAGUAGGCCUGGCAUGGUCCUGAAAGCAGAGGACUGACAAAGGGUCCCCCUUUUCUCUUCCUCAGAAUCAAGAGCCUUGCUGUUAGGAUUUUUCACCUUAACUCCUGAGUUUCUUGAUACUUCUCCCUCUCUGCUCCCCUGGUCAAAAGUUCAAUGUUAGUAAUCAUUAAGAGGCAAAGUAGUUGGGAGAAAAGAACCCAAAGGCAAGAAUUCCUUGUCUCUUCUUUGUACUUCUAAGGUCUCCUGAGCUGCAGUUUCCUACCUGAGCUAAAUGUGGCUUGAAAGGAUGUUGGGUGUAGAUUCUGGAAUUUUCAUGUCCGGUUAUGUAAAAUGAAAAAAUCUGAAAUGGAUGUGGAAAUGUCCAUUUGCUAUUAUUAUAAUCUCACACUUUAUCUUCAUUUCUGAUUGCUAUUUAGUCAGCAAUAGCUUAGAACAUUUCAGCUUUCAGUAUCUUCCUCUGUUAAGCAAGUAAUGAUCUGUAAACAAACACUGCACUAAGUGCUCUUUAAAGGGAACUUUUCACUCUUUUGUGAUGUAAAGAAUCUUUUAUGGCACAAAUGAGUACACCUUCUAAUUUAGUUUUUAAAAGUAGGAUAUUUGGGGACUCCAUUUACCUAUUCUAUUUAGAACUUAAUUAAAAGUGAAAGAAUGUGUAUUACUUUUCUUCUGUUAGUGUAAAAAAUUACUAGAGGUUGGCUGGGCAUGGUGGCUCAUGCCUGUAAUCCCAACACUUAGGGAGGCCAAGGCGG
rnacentral:snRNA from 1 species